UGGAGGUAUCAGAAGUGCGAAUGCUGACAUAAGUAACGAUAAAGCGGGUGAAAAGCCCGCUCGCCGGAAGACCAAGGGUUCCUGUCCAACGUUAAUCGGGGCAGGGUGAGUCGACCCCUAAGGCGAGGCCGAAAGGCGUAGUCGAUGGGAAACAGGUUAAUAUUCCUGUACUUGGUGUUACUGCGAAGGGGGGACGGAGAAGGCUAUGUUGGCCGGGCGACGGUUGUCCCGGUUUAAGCGUGUAGGCUGGUUUUCCAGGCAAAUCCGGAAAAUCAAGGCUGAGGCGUGAUGACGAGGCACUACGGUGCUGAAGCAACAAAUGCCCUGCUUCCAGGAAAAGCCUCUAAGCAUCAGGUAACAUCAAAUCGUACCCCAAACCGACACAGGUGGUCAGGUAGAGAAUACCAAGGCGCUUGAGAGAACUCGGGUGAAGGAACUAGGCAAAAUGGUGCCGUAACU
rnacentral:rRNA from 1 species